GAUGAACGCUGGCGGCGUGCCUAAUACAUGCAAGUCGAGCGAACGGACGAGAAGCUUGCGCCUCUGAUGUUAGCGGCGGACGGGUGAGUAACGCGUGGAUCACCUACCUAUAAGACUGGGAUAACUUCGGGAAACCGUAGCUACUACCAGAUAAUAUUUUGAACCGCAUGGUUCAAAAGUGAAAGACGCUCUUGCCGUCACUUAUAGAUGGAUCCGCGCUGCAUUAGCUAGUUGGUAAGGUAACGGCCUACCAAGGCAACGAUGCAUAGCCGACCCGAGAGGGUGAUCGGCCACACUGGAACUGAGACACGGUCCAGACUCCUACGGGAGGCAGCAGUGGGGAAUAUUCCGCAAUGGGCGCAAGCCUGACCCAGCAACGCCGCGUGGGUGAAGAAGGUCUUCGGGUUGUAAAACCCUUUUAUUGGGGAAGAAAAGAUGCGGAAUUAACCGCGGCUAUUCUGACGGUACCUAAACAGUAAGCACCGGCUAACUUCGUG
rnacentral:rRNA from 1 species